rnacentral:rRNA from 1 species
UUUUUCCGGGUUUUGAGGAUCUGCCGAAGGCUACUGCUAAAGAAGAUCGAUUAGCAUGCGAGUCUAGGGAUCUUCGGAUCCUGGCGUAAUGCUCAGUAACACGUGGAUAAUCUACCCUCAGGUGGGGCAUAAACCCGGGAAACUGGGGCCAAUUCCCCAUAAAUACAGAUGGCUGGAAUGCUUCUGUAUUCAAAGCUCCGGCGCCUGAGGAUGAGUCUGCGGCCUAUCAGGUUGUAGUCAGGGUCAAGACCUGACUAGCCAGCGACGGGUAUGGGGUGUGAGAGCACUUGCCCAGAGAUGGUUUCUGAGACACGAAACCAGGCCCUACGGGGCGCAGCAGGCGCGAAAACUUCGCAAUGCGGGAAACCGUGACGAGGGAACUCCGAGUGUCUAUGCAUUGCAUAGACUGUUUUUUAGCCUAAAUAGCUAUUAGAGUAAGGGGUGGGCAAGACCGGUGCCAGCCGCCGCGGUAACACCGGCACCCCGAGUGGUAGCCACUAUUAUUGGGCCUAAAGCGUUCGUAGCCGGUUUGGUAAAUUCUUGGGUAAAUCGUACCGGUCAACGGUGCGGAUUCCGGGGACACUACCAGACUUGAGACCGGGGGAGAUCAGAGGUACUUGCGGGGGAGCGGUGAAAUGUUGUAAUCCCGCAGGGACCACCAGUGGCGAAGGCGUCUGAUCAGAACGGCUCUGACGGUGAGGAACGAAACCCUGGGGCGCAAACGGGAUUAGAUACCCCGGUAGUCCAGGGCGUAACGCUGCUGACUUGGUGUUGGGGAUCCUACGAGGAUGUCCAGUGCUGGCGCGAAGGUAUUAAGUCAGCCGCCUGGGGAGUACGGUCGCAAGACUGAAACUAAAGGAAUGGCGGGGAGCACUGCAACCUGUCGAGCGUGCGGGUUUAAUUGGAUCACACACGCGCCGGAGAAU